rnacentral:rRNA from 1 species
AACGGCUGCAUAGCAUUAAAGUAGCGUAAUAAUUUGUUCCUUUAUUGGGGACUUGAAUGAAUGGUAGAACGGGACUUAACUGUCUCCUUUAGUUAUUCCGAAUUUUCUGUUCAAGUGAGAAAGCUUGAUUUUAGAAGGAGGACGAGAAGACCCUAUAGAAUUUUAUAAUAUUAUGAACUUUAGGUUCACACAUUAUUUUGUUGGGGCAACAAAGGGGGACAAACCCCUUAAUAUUCUUCUGUGUUAACAGUAUUUAAAUAUCCUAAAAUAGAAAAAACAAAAAUUACCUUAGGGAUAACAGCGUAAUAUCUCCCAGAGAGACCUAAUUGAAGGGAGAGUUUGCGACCUCGAUGUUGGACUAAGAUAUCUUUUAAGUGCAGCAGCUUAAAAAGUGAGCCUGUCCGGCUUUUAAAAUCUU